rnacentral:tRNA from 1 species
GGGCCCGUAGUCUAGUGGCUAUGACGUCGCUUUGACGUAGCGAAGGUCACCAGUUCGAAUCUGGUCGGGCCCA